rnacentral:lncRNA from 9 species
GAAGCUCAUUCUUUGCCUUGCCGCCCUCACGGUACAACCCCCACGCACAGGCCUGCCAGCUCAUGCUGGCGAUGCUUCCAAGAGGGAAACGGCAGGCAAAACUAGUCUAUAUGUUCGAUGGGGUAGGUAAGUGGUGGUCCAUGCAGGGGACAGUGACCCGAAGUUCUUGGCCAAGAGGUCAGGCUGCCUUGGUUCCUCCGGCUCUCCCGGGAGUUUGGGGGCUUAUACUGACCAGUCUUCCAAUGUCUUUACAGAUGAGGACUGAAUGAUCAGGUGCAGGCAUCACUGGCAGCAGCGUAAGCCAACAUCCGAAGGCCUCGUCCCAGAAAACAGGGAGGAUUCAUUUCAAGCUCUAAGACCGACUGAAGCCUGGCACUCCCUGACAAAUGCAUUCCAGCUGGUUUCAAUCCACACGAGACACCAGUGUGUGUGUGUGUGUGUGUGUUGUGUGUGUGCGCGUGUGUGCGUGUGUGUGUGCGCGCGCGCGCGUGUGUACGUGUGUUUAUGUAUCAGCAUAGUAAAGAAAAGGCACUUGGGAAGCUGCAGACUUCCAUCUCAUCUCUCUUUUGCUCCGCAGCUCUCUCCCAGAGAGGAAGAUGCAUUAAAUGUCAGAGAAGACGUUAACUCUGGGCGGUCCAAGGAGAUGAGAUAAUGGUCAAGUCGUGGGGCUGUGCGUGGUCUGGACCUUGAGGGAAGCAGAUGGCCACAGCCUCCCUGGCGUGACGCCCCCUUCCAGUUAGCAGACUCUAAGUAAACAACUGAUUUCACUAAUCUCAGAGGCCUCCCUCUGGUGUCUGGUAAGCACAGCCUUGCUCUCAGCAUUUGCCUCUUUUCCGUGGCUCCCUUAUGAAAUGUGAUGGGAGCUGCAGAGUUGGAAGGACAAAGGAACUGACUGAGUAAGUGUAAUUUAUUAUCCAGGAUUGUUUUCAACCUUUUCCCAAUUAUACACAUUUUGCUUUUGGCUUCGGUGGACCUGGGUUUAUGAGGCUGUUCUUCUGGCCACUAAUGGGCUGAAAAAAAAAAGGGCCCCCAGUAUUCCCUUAGGGAUGUGUUACUGGCCUUUAGUAAUCUGCCUAUGGCAUUAGCUCUGUUGAAUGCAGUUAAUUAAAUGAGAAAACUAAUAACUGACUCCUGCUUCUCCCCCACUGUCUGCCCUCCCACCCUCCACACACCAAAGCUUUAUAUGGGCUUAUUUCAAUUAGGGACCAGAAAGUUCUCAGCCCAACAGAGAUGGAAGCCCAGACAGGGUUGGGUGCUCUCACUGGAAUUUGUUUAUUUGUUCUCACCCGCUGGAGAAAAAUAAUGGGCUUAGCAAAGAGAGAGGGCGAGUUGUGGGGCAAAAAAACAAUGGCUGGGUGACAGGGACCCUGCUUUAGGGUCCAGGGUUGGAGGCUGAUUUAAAGUGUGACCUUGAACAAAUGAGGUAUCUCAUUGCAUUUCCGGUUCCCCACCUGUAAAUGGGAGAAAAAUGAAGCCCCUCCUUCUUGUCUGUUGGGCUGGUGGUGAAUCAAGAGGCUCAGUUCUUCAUGCCGCCCACUUACCUGUGGGCAUUUUCUAGGAUUCAGAUUGGUUCCCCCUUCUUUCCAGGUCAUCCCUCAGUGAUCUCACCCCUUCUCAUAGUGUCAGGUCUGGCAUUUUUGCAGGUGACCACAAAAUCUAUGAUCGCCAACUUCAACUUCCCUCCCGAGAGCCAAUCCUACAGAGCCAAAUGGUCACUGGAAAUGCUCUAGGUGGAUGGCAUGCAUUAUGAAAUGUACUCUUCUAUCGAAACUCACCCAGGCCACACUUCCAUCUUUAUGCAGGCACCACAUGCAUGGCCUAAGCAGGGUGUGGGCUCUACGUGUCCAGGUCAUACUUCUAACUCUGUGACUUGGGCAAGCCGUUUACAGACACCGAGCUUGAGAUGGAGAUGGAGAAGACUUUUUCUAUAAAUGGAACUCUUGGCAGACUACCUGUUAAAUCACAGACAUUCAAUAAACAAUGUCAUUCGUCCCAUCCUUGAGCUUGUUUGGAAUUUAUAUAAUGCCUUUAGCUCUCAGAUUAUCUUUUGUGUCUAUUACACAGAGUUUUCAAAUACAGAAUGAAGAAGAGCAUAAAGAGCUGACUGUCCAGUGACCUUCUGGACAUUGAGACUUGUUUUCCCAUCGAGUUCCUUUAUUAAUUUGGAGAUAACUUCGACUGGAAACCAGAGUAACUUAAGUUAUCCCAAAACUAUAGGUAAGAAUGCAGCAGUGCCUGAAGCAUAAGAAGAGCCGUGAAAUGUUUCUGAUAAAGUAGUAUUAAUCCAUUGUUCACAUAAAAAUAUCUGGAAACUGAAAACACCAUGUCUAAAUUGUGGAAAACAGUACAAAACAGGAAGUUCCUUCUUAUCAGAUUUGGGACAUUUUCUUACUAAUUUUAAGGUACGUUAGCACUGGUGGUUUCACAGCUAACCAAGGCACAGUUUCUAUUUUAGCUUUCUUUUCAGAGCUUCCUUGGACCUUUUAAAGAAUUUACCUCCCUUCAGAGACUACAGUUAUACUUUUGACCACGGGAUGGAGUGAAAAUAAACAACCAAACAAACCAAAGACCCUGGAGGAGGGAGAUCAAGAAAAUAAAAAAUGCGAAGACAAGUGAAAUGGAUCGGGAAGGCCUGGAACUCAAGUAUGGGAAGUAAAAUUUCCAAUUCUCACGUGUCCUUCCUAGAGCCAGUACUGACAACAGAUCCCUGCUCAGGCCCUGCCUGUCUUUGUCACUGUUUUUGUCAUUGUUGUGGUGGUUUCCGAGCUUUUCUAUCUCCAGAAACUUAGUGCUUCAACAACGACAGUAAAGUGAAGGCGAAGCUAUUUCUUUCGAAUUAGGCUCCCCUCUCUAGAGCAAAAUUGCCAUCGAGAGAGAAACCCUAAGAUUAGUGAGACUAAGGAGGGAUGGUGCUACCACAAUCUCUGCAAUUUCUCUGUGGGAGACGGAGAAGAUAUGAAAUUAUUUCCUUUUACACAGCCAGGAAAACAAUGAAAGACUGGUUAUAUUAUGUGCUCCCCCCCAAAAUAAACAUAAUGAUGCUUUCUUAAGUGGUGCCUUGCUCUAUGACCAACGUGCAAGUCAUGAGUUUCCUGGGUAAGAAAAAUAUAUGGACCACACACACGCAGCUAUCCCUUAGAUGUGCGGCUUAAAGAAAGAACUGAUGGAAUAAAACAUCUUCAGCUUAUGGUAGAUAUCGUGCUUCCCUGAGAGAUGAAAGAACUUUAACACUGGAAAGUUCUAACUUUAGAUCUUUUAAGGCUCCAGUGGGCAACAGCCAUGUAGCAUACUAUAAACAGACCACGACCUCUACAUCAGGGAAAAGAGACUGAUAUUUAUAGGCUCUUCCACAGAGAUUCUCUAGAGCCUAGCUUAAUUUCAAUCAUCUCUCUGUGUAGUAACAAAAAAAAAAUGUAUCCAUGGAAAUGUGUACUAGAAACCUGGUUCCCUGUCUUUUACACAUGAGGUUACCACUGCCAGUACCUUCUUAUAUUCUAGAAGGAGAGGUUCAAAGAAUGGCUGGAUAUUGUACAAGCGAUGCAGACAUUAGAAAAGGGAUUGGGUUUGAUGAACUUGGAGGUCCUUGUCCACCCUAGGAUGCUGGGGUUCUGUGUCUUCCUCUUUAUUCAGCUGUGAUGACACUUUUCAUGUUUCCACGUUCUAGAAGGUCAUUCCUCUAGGACCAUGGCCAGUGGGAAAUGUGUGUAUCUGCGUGUGGAGUUAGUGUGUGUGUGUGUGUAAAAAUAAUUCAGGAGAAAAUUAACCAAUCUGCACAUUCAAUAGAAAAUAACCAAUUAAUAAACUGAUUCAUCUUGGUAUUAAAACAUUCAACUCCACAGGAUACUGUGUAAACCUAACCCAGUCAAUACCACCCAGAAACUUAGGUGUCUCAUACGAGGCGACCAGGGCCAAUUUGCAAUUGGAAAAAUGAAAACUAGAAGCCAGAGUCAAAAUGUUACAUGAGGACACAGGUCUCUGGCAUUGGUGUUCCACGAUUUUCUCAGUAAACUCCCAUUUCUUCAUGCUGGUGACAAAGACCACUUAAGGCCGAAGUUCCAACCUGCAAGGGACGGUCAUCAUGACGGCCUGGGGGGAAUCCAGAACGAGAGAGGUGGUCGCUGUAAUGCCAAGAAAGGUAAGCAGUCCCGAGCAGAUUUCAGUGUUAUAUAUAUUUUGUCCACAAGAUGGUAGCGUCCACUUUCCAUUUAAUGUAAAGCUGGCCCAUGAUCCUGACUUCCCGUAAAGUAGGGAAUGGUUUGUGUUGAACAGAGGCAGCCACUCUGGAUACCCUUCAGGAUUUUUUUAAUUAUGACUGUGAUGAAUUGUUGAUGUGGAGUACAUUUAGCUUUGCUAUAGCGAGGUGGUGAUUCGUCCGAAAUAAAGAAAACUCGGAGAUGUAUUGCAUUCCAGGCUCUUAAAGGGAAUUUGAGAACUGGGAAUACUUUAGACAUCUAAAAAACACACCAAGGAUCAGAUACUGACAUUUUCAAAAAUACUACCUUAGUACAUCAUGCAAAGGACGUUCAGGAUGUCAAGUUCAAUUAAUCUUGGGUGAAGUUUUGCACAGUAUCGAAGUUCCUUCCAUGAAACUAGUUCAAGUGGGCUAUAGGUGGUUUCCCCUCAAAUCCAGGGGGAAAGCUAGACCUUAGACGCUAUGAAAUUUCCAUGAGCUAAAUAAGAGGGCAGCAUCAGCAAGCUGGCCUGCUCUGCUGCUCUGUGCCUCCCUCCCUCAUGCAGCCUCC